rnacentral:rRNA from 1 species
CAGUCGCCGCGGUAAUACGAAGGUCCCGAGCGUUGUUCGGAAUCACUGGGCGUAAAGGGAGCGUAGGCGGUAUGGUAAGUCAGAUGUGAAAUCCCGGGGCUCAACCCCGGAACUGCAUCCGAUACUGCCGUGCUAGAGGACUGGAGAGGCAACUGGAAUUCUCGGUGUAGCAGUGAAAUGCGUGGAGAUCGAGAGGAACACUCGUGGCGAAAGCGAGUUGCUGGACAGUAUCUGACGCUGAGGCUCGAAGGCCAGGGUAGCGAAAGGGAUUAGAUACCCCAGUAGUCCCUGUCUUUAUACA